UACAGAGGUCUCAAGCGUUGUUCGGAUUCAUUGGGCGUAAAGGGUGCGUAGGCGGCGCGGUAAGUCGGGUGUGAAAUCGUCGGGCUUAACUCCGAAACUGCAUUCGAUACUGCUGUGCUUGAGGACUGGAGAGGAGACUGGAAUUUACGGUGUAGCGGUGAAAUGCGUAGAUAUCGUGAAGGAAGACCAGUGGCGAAGGCGGGUCUCUGGACAGUUCCUGACGCUGAGGCACGAAGGCCAGGGGAGCAAACGGG
rnacentral:rRNA from 1 species